rnacentral:rRNA from 1 species
ACUCCUACGGGAGGCAGCAGUGGGGAAUUUUGGACAAUGGGCGAAAGCCUGAUCCAGCAAUGCCGCGUGAGUGAAGAAGGCCUUCGGGUUGUAAAGCUCUUUUGUCAGGGAAGAAACGGUGAGAGCUAAUAUCUUUUGCUAAUGACGGUACCUGAAGAAUAAGCACCGGCUAACUACGUGCCAGCAGCCGCGGUAAUACGUAGGGUGCAAGCGUUAAUCGGAAUUACUGGGCGUAAAGCGUGCGCAGGCGGUUUUGUAAGUCUGAUGUGAAAUCCCCGGGCUCAACCUGGGAAUUGCAUUGGAGACUGCAAGGCUAGAAUCUGGCAGAGGGGGGUAGAAUUCCACGUGUAGCAGUGAAAUGCGUAGAUAUGUGGAGGAACACCGAUGGCGAAGGCAGCCCCCUGGGUCAAGAUUGACGCUCAUGCACGAAAGCGUGGGGAGCAAACAGGAUUAGAAACCCCAGUAGUCC